rnacentral:rRNA from 1 species
AGAAAAGUUAAAGCGUAAAGCGGUGAAAGAUGGUCUCGCGUCCCAUUAGUUAGUUGGUGAGGUAACGGCUCACCAAGACUGCGAUGGGUAGCCGGCCUGAGAGGGUGAACGGCCACACUGGAACUGAGACACGGUCCAGACUCCUACGGGAGGCAGCAGUGGGGAAUAUUGCACAAUGGAGGAAACUCUGAUGCAGCGACGCCGCGUGAACGAUGAAGGCUUUCGGGUCGUAAAGUUCUGUCCUAGGGGACGAUAAUGACGGUACCCUAGGAGGAAGCCCCGGCUAACUACGUGCCAGCAGCCGCGGUAAUACGUAGGGGGCGAGCGUUGUCCGGAUUUAUUGGGCGUAAAGGGUUCGCAGGCGGUCUCUUAAGUUAGAUGUGAAAGAUCACGGCUCAACCGUGGUAAGCAUUUAAAACUGGGAGACUUGAGUUAAGGAGAGGAAAGUGGAAUUCCUAGUGUAGCGGUGAAAUGCGUAGAUAUUAGGAGGAAUACCAGUGGCGAAGGCGACUUUCUGGACUUAUACUGACGCUGAGGAACGAAAGCGUGGGGAGCAAACAGGAUUAGAUACCCUGGUAGUCCACGCCGUAAACGAUGAGUGCUAGGUGUCGGGGGUCAAACCUCGGUGCCGCAGCUAACGCA